UGUCUCAAAAAUAAAUAAAUAAAUAAUAAAUAAAUAAAAGCAAAUCUGUGAUAUGGUCAUCCCGCUUUGUUAAUAGUAUUUCUCAGUGUCAUUGUGAAGACAUAGUGAAGAUAGUGUUAUAAAAGUUUAAAGAGCCAUAGCCAUGUUGUUGUCAUUGUUAUUCUGUCAUUUCCUGUUUAAAUCCCUUCAAAGACUGCCCAUUUGGCUUAGGACAAGUGACUUGACCCUGCUCUUCUUCUCCACUCUUCAUUUUGUAACACCCUACUCUUUCACUGUGCUUUUAGCCCCACCAGUCUGUCCUAGACUUGUUAGGGGUUUUCUCCCUCACUGGGCUUCUACAGACAGCAUGCUUUUGAAUGAGGUGGAUUUCCUCUCUCUCUGCCUAGCUAAGUCCUGCAUCAUCAUCUCCUUUUAACAGACAUUCACCUUCCCUGAAACUCUAAUGCAAGUUAAACUCCUCAUUAUGUGGGCUCAGAGAGCCUCGUUCUUUUCCUUCUCAGCACAUAUCACAAUGUAAAAGAUAUAUGUAUGGUGAUAACAUGUUUAAUAUACUUCUUCUCUGGACACUAGCACCAAGAACAGUGAGCAGGUCUGCUCUGUUCACCCCUAAGAAGUUGAAUUAUUAUGUUACUUGUUUUGCAGAGUCCAUCCUGCUUCACUCUGUUACUCUUAUAAAUGAGAAUAUCGCAGGCAGAGUUGAAAUAUAAGAAGCUGAGGUUGGCUUUCUUUCCUCUUCCUGAAUGGAAAUUUUGUGUAGUUUUAUAUACCUAAAUAUUAGUAUUUUUUCCAGAUUAUUAUUAUGUUGAAACAAUAGAAACGUAUAAGACUCUGAUGUCUCUUUUUGCCAAAGAACAAUAAAUUGUGCACAUGUUGAUCACUGAGGAAGAAGGCUUUGUAUUAUAGAAAAACUUAAAAUUUGUGGUUUUUCUUAAAUUCAUUAUUACUAAACCUUCUAACAUCAUCACUAUUUAAACUUAAUGGUGACCCCUAGUGGAUACUCUGCAUAACAGACUGUUGGAGAGAUCAGGAACUUCCAAACUGAAGCUGGUACUGUGUAAUAAUCAGCAAGUGAUCUUUUUCUUUGGAUCUAUUAUACAAGGCUUAGAAGUUAUGAAGAAGAAUUACUUUGUGAGACUAGAAGCUUCCAUCUUAGCAUUUAUCUGUAUUUAAUGUCUCUUAAAAUUACUUUGAUUCUGUAUAUGAUUAUCUUUCUAUAAACAAAGCAAUAAAAAUGGUAAUGAAAUAAGUACCUAAUCAGUACCAUAAUCCAAAUACUUAUGGAAUUUUUAUGUUCCAUUUGAUCUUUAUAAUAAUUGUAUAUAAAUAGUUUUUAUAUAUAGUUAUAUUGUGUACAUAAUAUUUUAUGGUUUUUUAUCACCUGACAUUAUUUCAUUUAGACUGAAGUGUCUGCAUAGUCUACGUAUUUUUUUUAAUUUUUAAUGGCAUUUAAUGGCAUUAACACAUGUGGUUAGUUCCAUUUUCGCUUUUGGCUUUUCCUUACCAUGGUAGUGAAACUGUGCACAUCUUAUUCAGACACAGGAAUCUAUAUUAGCACCCCAUGUAAUUUCUGAGAUCUGGUGGGAGUGUGAUACCAUAGCCAGAGAAUGCUUCACCUUGAGGCAGUAUCUUGCCUGCCCAGCUGACAUUACAUUUGCUGGUAAAUAAUGCCCUGCUGUCCUCCCAUGCCCCUAGACUCUCUCACUCUUAUCUGUGAUGAAGCCUGAAGUACAGGUUGAGUAUCCCUUAUCUGAAAUGCUUGAGACCAGAAAUGUUUCAGAUUUUGGAAUAUUUGCAUAUAUAUACCAGUUGAAUAUCUGAAAUGGAAAAAUCCAAAAUGUGAAAUGCUCCAAUGAGCAUUUCUUCCCAGUGUCAGAUAGGAGCUCAACAAGUUUCAGAUUUGGGAGCAUUUCAGAUAUUGGAUAUUCAGAUUUGGAGAGCCCAACCUGUACAUUGUUUUCUACCCCUUGUUCAUGAUAAAUUGUUACCCUUGAAAGUAAGCUAAGAUGGGAAUAGCCUUCCAAAAUUCUUUUAAUCCAUCCAGGACAUAGUUUCUUCCCUCUCACCCCGAAAUAUGCAUUGAUUUUCCAGUUGCUUUUAGGGAAAGGAAAAUUAGAUAAUUGAUUUUUAGAAGGUUAGAAAAUCCUGCUCAUAGUGUCAUAAUUUACCUAGAAAGCUAACAACUGAAUAUUACCUUAUUUUGGGUAGGAAUCUGCUUAUGUGGUUAUGACCUUUAAGUAUAAUUUUUAUUUUCUUCUUUACACUUAGCUGUUUCCUUGGUGUUCUGUAGUGAACAUCUUUUAUUUUUAUAUUCAGAAAAAUAACUUUUCUAAAUUAUUGAAAACUUGUAAAACCCAGGAAAGCCUAUGGAAAAAUAUAUAAAUCAUCCAAAAUCUCAUCACGUAGGAUAAUUGCUAUUCAUAUUUUACUGUAUUGGCUUCCAGUAUUUUCAAUGCACAUUUAAGUGUAUUUGUGAAUCUUAUAUUUUAAAAAGAACUACGGUAUGUGAAAAUAAAAAUUCAUAAAGUUUACAUAAAUUAGAGUGAUUAUUCACAUCUCAAGAAGAUUGACUACAAGGUUUUGUUACUAAGCUCUCCUGUUAUAUUUGAAGUGAUUCAAUUCCUAGAAAAUUGCUCUACUUUUUUUUUCUUUCACAACUUUUAAAAAUAGCCUCUUGUCAUCUUGAAGCAGGUGUAUUACACUUUUGAACCAAGGUUGUUCUAUCAGAAAUCCAUGUUUUUGUGGCGUUGUGCUUUGGGCACCUGAGGAAUACUCACUGAAUGUGCUUGUCAGCCACUUACUGAAACUGCAGUUGAGAGUCAAUAAGGAAACCCGGACGCCGCCUCCCCUCUCUUUUCUCCAGGAGGCCAGAAAGAUGGCGGACAUUCAGACGGAGCGUGCCUACCAAAAGCAGUCCACUAUCUUUCAAAACAAGAAGAGGGUCUUGCUGGGAGAAUCUGGCAAGGAGAAGCUCCCUUGGUACUACAAGAACAUCGGUCUGGGCUUCAAGACUCUCAAAGAGGCCAUUGAGGGCAUCUACAUUGACAAGGAAUGCCCCUUCACUGGUAACGUCUCCAUCUGAGCGCAGAUCCUGUCUGGUGUGGUGACCAAAAUGAAGAUGGAGAGGACCAUUGUCAUCUGGCGAGACUAUCUCCACUGCAUCCGCAAGUACAAUCGCUUUGAGAAGCGCCACAAGAACAUGUCUGUGCACCUGUCCCCCCUGCUCAGGGACGUCCAGAUUGGUGACAUUGUCAUGGUGGGCGAGUGCUGGCCCCUAAGCAAGACAGCGCACUUCAGUGUGCUCAAGGUCACCAAGGCUGCCGGCACCAAGAAGCAGUUCCAGAAGUUCUGAGACUGGAUGUCUGCCCAUUCCCCAAAACGAAAUGAAGUUAUUUUCUCAUUCAAAAGAAAAAAAAGAAACUGCAGUUGACUUUUUGGUUUUAUUUCUGGCCAACUAUAAUAAUGAAAUGUUCAUCGUGAUUUUAGACCCAAAAGAGACCUGGUCUGUUUUGGGUCAGGAUGACUAACGUCCUGAGGAAACUGAGAUAAACAUUUGCAGAGCAUCAUAUUAAUAUUGCUUGGUGAAAAGCAUGUUGUGAGGCUUUUUUUUUUUUUUGGUGCCAGUGCAGUAGAUCUCUUGUCUGUCAUCUGACUCUCAGUUCUCAUCAGAUGUCUUUAUUCGUGUUGUAUUUCCUUGUGUUUUAUGUGUAAUAACCUCUAGAUAAUCCUGAGCAGAAAUGUUCAUUUUCUCUAGUUCUUCCUCAAACAAAUGUUUUCAACUACCAGUUCCCUUAUCACAUCCCUAUCAUUACUUUGUAAUAAUUUUUAUUCUUUAGCCCACAUUGUCUUCUUUCUCCUAUUCUAAUUAAUUACAUUGAAAAACACAGAAGCAUAGGUGAGAGAGGAAUGGUAAAAAUAAAAUACAUAAAAAAUAAAAUACAUUUUGCGCCCAUAUUUUGUGAAGUAAGAAUCCAUAUUCUUUUCAUUCUUUAUUAGCUGUCUAAUUUGAAGGCACCAUGUUUCUUAGCAAGGUGGUUUCGUAUGUCCUGGCAAAUCUGCUUAUUUAAUUAAUAAAAUAAUCAGUGAUAGAUAUUAGUUAUAUAUUCAUUAUUA